UCCGGUGAAGUGUUCGGAUUGCGCCGACGUGGGCGGUUCGCUGCUCGCGACGUUGUGAGAAGUCCACUGAACCUUAUCAUUUAGAGGAAGGAGAAGUCGUAACAAGGUUUCCGUAGGUGAACCUGCGGAAGGAUCAUUG
rnacentral:rRNA from 1 species